rnacentral:rRNA from 1 species
AGGGUGCUAGCGUUGUUCGGAAUUACUGGGCGUAAAGCGCGUGUAGGCGGUUCGUAAAGUCGGAUGUGAAAGCCCUGGGCUUAACCCAGGAAGUGCAUUCGAAACUCACGAACUUGAGUCCCGGAGAGGAAGGCGGAAUUCUCGGUGUAGAGGUGAAAUUCGUAGAUAUCGAGAGGAACAUCUGUGGCGAAGGCGGACUUCUGGACGGUGACUGAAGCUGAGACGCGAAAGCGUGGGGAGCAAACAGG